CAGCAGCCACGGUAAUACGAAGGGUGCAAGCGUUAAUCGGAAUUACUGGGCGUAAAGCGUGCGCAGGCGGUUUGUUAAGACAGAUGUGAAAUCCCCGGGCUCAACCUGGGAACUGCAUUUGUGACUGGCAAGCUAGAGUGUGGCAGAGGGGGGUGGAAUUCCGCGUGUAGCAGUGAAAUGCGUAGAUAUGCGGAGGAACACCGAUGGCGAAGGCAGCCCCCUGGGCCAACACUGACGCUCAUGCACGAAAGCGUGGGGAGCAAACAGGAUUAGAUACCCGGGUAGUCCCUGUCUCUUAUAC
rnacentral:rRNA from 1 species